AUCACAUCUCCCUCUCCUCUCCUGAGUCUCUCUCCUCACUGCACCUGAAUCCUCUCUACUGACAACAUGGGUUGCUGUGGCUGUGGAGGUUGUGGUGGCUGUGGCGGCUGUGGCAGCUGCGGUGGCUGUGGUGGUUGUGGCUGUGGUGGCUGUGGCUGCGGUGGCUGUGGCUGUGGUGGCUGUGGCUGUGGUGGCUGUGGCUGCGGUGGCUGUGGCUGCGGUGGCUGUGGUUGUGGUGGCUGUGGUGGCUGUGGCUGUUGUGGUGGCUGCUGUGGCUGCUGUGGCUGCUGCAAGCCAGUGGUAGUCUGCUGCUGCCGCCGCUGCUGCUGCCGCUCCUGUGGCUGUGGCUCCUGUGGCUGCGGCUGUGGCUGUGGGAAGGGCUGUUGCCAGCAAAAGUGUGGCUGCAAGCAGUGCUGCUGCUAGCAUGGCUGCUGGCCUCUGGGCUUCUGCUGUAGGUAACUGCUAGAGGUGAGUCUGUUCUGUCUAUCUACCUGUCUGCGUGCCUGCCAGCUUGCCUGUCUGUCUGUCUGCUCCUGAUGGGAUUGUGAGUCACCAGCAUAAACUGAGCUUAAUGCCUUUGCAGUCUGGCAUUUCUAGAGUUGAUAUUAUCUUGCCAGCAUUUGAUAGGCACCAAGCAAAUGAAUGAAUCCCAGGUCCUCUGGGUCACUUACCUUUCAAUCACAACUGUGGCACAUGGCAUCUGGUUGGGUUAUGCUGUGACAUUCUACAGUGCCUGUAAUUCUCACCAGCGACCUGCUUUCCCAUUGCAUUGACAUAUCUGUAAUCACAAAGCUUCUCUUGCUUAAUAAACUUCAGCAAACCGCUCUC
rnacentral:lncRNA from 1 species